rnacentral:piRNA from 1 species
UAAAGUGCCGGGUGAUUAUGUUUAUUUU